GGUUAACCAGUGUUGUAAUUACUGAAGACUAUUCAGUAAAUACAUCCUACUCUGAGCAUUAACAAUUAAGCAAUGUGUCUGCUCAUUGUUAAUAUAUAUAUAUUAAAGUCUGUAGCACUACAAUUGCAAAAUAUUGAAAAUUCAAAUCAAAAAUCUUUGGAGGAAUGUUAUUAAAAUGAAGAGUUCAAAUGAGCACUAAAGAUGCAGCUGAAACAAUGUUGUGGUUCUCCAAGGAAAUGAUGCAGGCAUCAGUGGCCCUUGACUUAUUAAAGCUUGAGACCCCUGCCUCAGAGUGAAUAAGACCAUUAAACAGUCAAAAGUCCCAGGAGGAGGAUGACCCAGUAAGGACAACAAUGGAGUCACAGUCCCAAAGUCACAAAGAUGAGAGGAAUUUU